rnacentral:lncRNA from 1 species
AGGAUUUCCGGUCCGGUUUCAUUGACUUGGUUCUUUCAUAUAUUAAUUCUGAUAUCUUACUGCAUAUCCCUACCCGGCCUCUGCAGGAAGUUGGUCAGUGAGGGCGAACAGUUCAACCUGGCUUCCCAUCCCUUAAAGACCCCAGAGAAGACGAGAGAGCAAAAACUUGAACCCACUUCAGUGGCUUUCUUGACUUUAAUAGAAUCACCCAAAGACAACUUUUUUAAAUUAGGGUCUCCCAUUCUUUUCCAUUUCAUCUAUGGAGUCUGUGGGUUUGUGUUUAGAUCCCAUUUGCAAGCUUUUUUCAAUAUCCUGAACCGGGAAGAGAGGAGCAUCCUAGGAAAGAAGAAUGUAGCUGAAGAGAUGGCUCAGCACAUAAGAACACAGACCCAGGUUUGUUUCCCAGAACUCUUGGGAAGUUUGAAACUCCACUUCCAGGGUUCCAGUACCUCUACCGACACAAAGCACAUUUGUAGUACACAUCCAUCCAUGCAGGCCCUCACACACACACACACACACACACACACACACACACACAAAGUAAAUAAACCUUAA